rnacentral:rRNA from 1 species
GAUGAACGCUGGCGGCGUGCCUAAUACAUGCAAGUCGAGCGAACAGACGAGGAUCUUGCUCCUCUGACGUUAGCGGCGGACGGGUGAGUAACACGUGGAUAACCUACCUAUAAGACUGGGAUAAGUUCGGGAAACCGGAGCUAAUACCGGAUAAUAUAUUGAACCGCAUGGUUCAAUAGUGAAAGACGGUUUUGCUGUCACUUAUAGAUGGAUCCGCGCCGCAUUAGAUAGUUGGUAAGGUAACGGCUUACCAAGGCGACGAUGCGUAGCCGACCUGAGAGGGUGAUCGGCCACACCGGAACCGAGACACGGUCCCGACUCCUACGGGAGGCAGCAGUAGGGAAUCUUCCGCAAUGGGCGAAAGCCUGGCGGAGCACCGCCGCGUGAGUGAUGAAGGUCUUCGGAUCGUAAAACUCUGUUAUUAGGGAAGAACAAAUGUGUAAGUAACUAUGCACGUCUUGACGGUACCUAAUCAGAAAGCCACGGCUAACUACGUG